rnacentral:rRNA from 1 species
CCCUUAGAUGUUCUGGGCUGCACGCGCGCUACACUGAUGCGCUCAACGAGUUUAUGACCUUGCCCGGCAGGGUUGGGUAAUCUUCUUAAAACGCAUCGUGAUGGGGAUAGAUUAUUGCAAUUAUUAAUCUUCAACGAGGAAUUCCUAGUAAGCGCGAGUCAUCAGCUCGUGCUGAUUACGUCCCUGCCCUUUGUACACACCGCCCGUCGCUCCUACCGAUUGAGCGAUCCGGUGAAUAAUUCGGACUGCAGCAAUGUUCAGCUUCUGAAUGUUGCAGUGGAAAGUUUAGUGAACCUUAUCACUUAGAGGAAGGAGAAGUCGUAACA